GAUAUUUUGGUGUAUGGCGCACAAAAAUUUUUGAUAUUUUAGGUAAUAGUUUGAUUCUAUUAAAUGUAA
rnacentral:tRNA from 1 species